rnacentral:tRNA from 1 species
UGGGGUGUAGCUGAGUGGUAGAGUGCAUGCCUAGCCUGCAUGAGACGCGGGCUCCAUCCCCAGCACCUCAA